CCUGAUGACCAUAGCAAGUUGGCACCACUCCUUCCCAUCUCGAACAGGACAGUGAAACGACUUAGCGCCGAUGAUAGUGCGGGUUCCCGUGUGAAAGUAGGUCAUUGUCAGGC
rnacentral:rRNA from 1 species